rnacentral:lncRNA from 1 species
CAAUAUCAAAAGUACAUUGAUGCUUGAAAACAAUUUUGAAAGCAAAUAUUCCAAAAAAAAAUUGAAAGUUCAGUAAUUGUUAGGAAAUAGCUUUAAUUGUUUCAUUUACAUUGCGGUACUUUAGAAAAUUUUCAAUAUAUAUAUAUUGGUACCUUGAAAUCCCUUUCCAAUGGUGGUACCAGAAACAUCAAACAAAUCCCCUUCCUUAAACAAUUCCUCAAUCGAAAGUCUCUGAUUGGGCUCAAACCCAUCAACGGUCUGGAGCCUAAAUCCUGAAAGUGGCGCAAUGGGAUAAUUUCGGACUUUUUCAGAUGCCCCAUUCCAUCGAU